rnacentral:lncRNA from 10 species
GGGGUUUGUGAGUGGGCUCCAGCCACACACGACUUCGUGCCUGUGACGUUGGCUCCUCCAUCCGCCUCUUUCCUGGAGUGCAGCCUGAGUCACAGCUCGAAACUUCUCCCACCUUCUCCGGGUGGAGGGGGCUUCCCCAGUCUUGGGGUGCGCACCUCAGGCAACGACCCAUCCCUCACUCCCCUGUGCUGGGACUGCAUGGGAAGCUGGACUACACUCCUCAGCCUCCCUUGAAGUUGCAGUGAACUUAUGAUGGUUUGUUCUAACCACCGUAAUAUGGGGAACCCACAGCUCAGAGAAGAUUGAGGAAUUGGUCAAGAUCAUACAAUAAGUCAUCGUCAGUGCAGGAAUAAGUUGCUGUCCUCUCUCUUCUUCAUGGCUUGGCCUACUGCAGUAUUUCACUCUUUGGCUGGAACCUCAGGUAAUCCACUAUGGCAACUUUGCAUGGGUGAUCACAUAAAGAGGAUCAAGAUGCAAAGAUUUUUCUCCUCUGGCUUCUCUUUUCAGACAUGCUUCUCCCUUUUCGGGAUCCCUGGUAGGAGAAGAGGUGAAAAGAGUGGCGAAGGUCCACGGCCCACUUUGUUUCUUGGUAGCACUGGCUACUCAAUGAGUUGUUUCCUUUAAGGACUGACUUAUUUAGGGCUAAGGUCAGAGUUUAAGGAAAGCAGCAGAGGGGAACUCUACCCAAGGAUUUGUGGUUUAAUGGCCCCGAGCAAUUGGGAAGGCAAGGAGGAGAGGAAAAUCCUCCAGAAGGGAAUGAGUAAUUGUGUAUAGAAAUUAUAUUGAGCUUGUUGCGAAAUGUUUGCAAACUGCCACGUAUCGGCGGGUGAGCGUGCGUAUGUGAGUGUUUUAGUUACAGCAGUUUAUUUGGCCUAUCUCUCAAUGUGUCAGGAAGUGGUGUUGCCACAAGGGUCUGAUGGUUUGUGUUUUCUGCUUAAGGAAAAUGUAAAUUAUCUGGCCCAUUAAUAUCUGGGUGCUCUAAUCUGUUAUUAGAGGAGAAAAGUAAAAAUUCUGCACCAAGAUGAAUGUUUACUUUUAAGGUGAUUAAUAAUGCUCAGCCACUGUGCAUUCAUCACUCUGCCAGCGGCUUCUGCAGGGAAAGCAGGAAGGAAACAGACUGGAAAUACUGUGCACCGCUGCUCAGUGCUCACGCGAAUGACACCUUCUGUCAUCUCCCUCCUCCAGAACCUUCACUAGCUCCCUAUUGCCUUCGUUAUAAAGGUCGAACUUGUAUCCCUCAGUGAACAGACCAUAUCCUGCCUGCCUACUGGAGCAACUAUGAUGUGCCUCUCCCUGCACUGUGGGGGAGGCAGGAGAAGAGGAAGAGGUGCUUCUUCCUAAUGGAGAAUUUUCUGUUCAUUGGGGGGUGAUAAGGAAAGCUCCUGGAGAAGCAUCAGUGCCCAAGGUAAGUGAGAAAUCAGGUGUUAGGCUGAUGGGGCGGACUGCAAGAAUCAUCAGAGCCAAGAGAGGGAGAAGUCUGAGUUGGGUUGGGUUGUCAGGAAAUGAUUCCUGGAGGAGGUGGGCUGCAGCUGGGCCUUGGGAAAUGAAAAAUUUGUGGACAGCCCCAAUCACAGGUACUGACCAUUAAGCACCGACUUUAUGCCAAGCACAGUGCUAGGAGCUUCUUGUAUAUAACUGUGACUCCGCCCCACAGCCCUGCAGGUGGGUAUUGUUAUCUUGUCUUUGUGGAUGAGAAAAACAGGCUCAGACAGCUGAAGACACCUACCUGGUGUCACACAGUGAGUGAGGGGCAGAGCCAGGGUGAACAGGCCAGAUUGGGAGGCUCUGAAGGCCGUGAGUCUGAAUUCAGUGCUUCUCUCACCAUUCUAAGCAGGAGGAACUCUCAGGAAGCAAACGACCUGGACAGAGUGUGUAAUAGUAAGUGUGUAGGGUAAGGUACCACAUGGGCAGAGGCUGGCCUGCCUGGAAGAAAGGAACCUGGAAGGAUGACCCCCUGAAAAGUUAUAGCUGGUCCCAUCUCAAUCUAGAUGUAGAGAUUCUUCCUUUUUCUGUUUUAAUUAAGCUACCUUGUUUCUGGGGGUUAAGAGUUGUUCCUGCCAGAAUCUAGUGUGCCCCUCUACUGGGUGCUCCUUCUGCUGGUUUCAAAGCCACCCCUGAUUGCGAGUUGCUCCAGGGAGCUUACACUGACCAAAGGGAAGGAGUCUGCCUACAGAACAGUACUAAGAGGCUUCUGCCUUGAGAGCAAACCCUUUAUUAUGGAUAGACCUGCAGAUUGCAUGUUUUUAUAAUUUCCCAGAAAGUAAAUUUUACGCUCUGCUAAGAUCUAAAUGAACUGGUGCAAAUGCCUGGACUUCCUUCUGCCUCUGGCGAGGUGAGGUCUGCAGGGCUGGAGAAUGUGCACGUGGGUCUGAGAGCGAGCUCUGCUCCGGAAGGGGCGAGGGCAGAGCAGUACGUGCGGGACGGAAAAUAACUUCUUUUCACCCAGGGUCCUUACGAUGAUGUCUUUGCUCCUAG